GACGAACGCUGGCGGCGUGCUUAACACAUGCAAGUCGAACGGAAAGGCCCUGCUUUUGUGGGGUGCUCGAGUGGCGAACGGGUGAGUAACACGUGAGUAACCUGCCCUUGACUUUGGGAUAACUUCAGGAAACUGGGGCUAAUACCGGAUAGGAGCUCCUGCUGCAUGGUGGGGGUUGGAAAGUUUCGGCGGUUGGGGAUGGACUCGCGGCUUAUCAGCUAGUUGGUGGGGUAGUGGCUUACCAAGGCUUUGACGGGUAGCCGGCCUGAGAGGGUGACCGGCCACAUUGAGCCUGCGAUACGGCCCAGACUCCUACGGGAGGCAGCAGUGGGGAAUAUUGCACAAUGGGCGGAAGCCUGAUGCAGCAACGCCGCGUGCGGGAUGACGGCCUUCGGGUUGUAAACCGCUUUCGCCUGUGACGAAGCGUGAGUGACGGUAAUGGGUAAAGAAGCACCGGCUAACUACGUG
rnacentral:rRNA from 1 species